rnacentral:rRNA from 1 species
AGCGAACGCUGGCGGCAGGCCUAACACAUGCAAGUCGAACGGACCCUUCGGGGUUAGUGGCGGACGGGUGAGUAACACGUGGGAACGUGCCUUUUGGUUCGGAAUAACUCAGGGAAACUUGUGCUAAUACCGAAUGUGCCCUUCGGGGGAAAGAUUUAUCGCCAUUAGAGCGGCCCGCGUCUGAUUAGCUAGUUGGUGAG